CCUACGGGCGGCAGCAGUGGGGAAUAUUGGACAAUGGGCGAAAGCCUGAUCCAGCCAUGCCGCGUGUGUGAAGAAGGCCUUCGGGUUGUAAAGCACUUUCAGUGGGGAAGAAAGCCUUGGGGCUAAUACCCUCGAGGAAGGACAUCACCCACAGAAGAAGCACCGGCUAACUCCGUGCCAGCAACCGCGGUAAUACGGAGGGUGCGAGCGUUAAUCGGAAUUACUGGGCGUAAAGCGCGCGUAGGCGGUCUGAUAAGCCGGUUGUGAAAGCCCCGGGCUCAACCUGGGAACGGCAUCCGGAACUGUCAGGCUAGAGUGCAGGAGAGGAAGGUAGAAUUCCCGGUGUAGCGGUGAAAUGCGUAGAGAUCGGGAGGAAUACCAGUGGCGAAGGCGGCCUUCUGGACUGACACUGACGCUGAGGUGCGAAAGCGUGGGUAGCAAACAGGAUUAGAUACCCCUGUAGUC
rnacentral:rRNA from 1 species